rnacentral:rRNA from 1 species
GACAGAGGAUGCAAACGUUGCUCGGAAUUACUGGGCGUAAAGCGCGUGUAGGCGGCUUGGUAAGUCGGAUGUGAAAUCCCGGGGCUCAACCCCGGAAGCGCACUCGAUACUGCCGAACUAGGGUCCUGAAGAGGAGAGCGGAAUUCCCGGUGUAGAGGUGAAAUUCGUAGAUAUCGGGAGGAACACCAGUGGCGAAGGCAGCUCACUGGGACGGUAUUGACGCUGAGACGCGAAAGCGUGGGGAGCAAACAGG